rnacentral:misc_RNA from 1 species
AGUCAUAACAAGGUUUCUGUAGGUGAACCUGCAGAAGGAUCAUUAGUGAAUGUGUGGCUGUGGAUUCGUCCCAGCCCCUCCUUUUUCUAUUGACACACCUGUGCACCGGUGGCGGCCUGCGUGGUAAGACACAACGGCCCUGCCAACAUUCUAUACAAAACACAAAAAGUCAUGAACGUAAAAUUAUCAUAACAAAGAUAA